GCGCUGGGCCCGGCCUGGGCUUGCAGACCCGAGCCCCGCAGGCCGGCCCCAGCGGCGGUGGCUCCGGCAAGCCGAAGAAAGGGGACCUUUAUGCCUUUUGGGGGAAGCACACAUUCUGCGAGGCCGUGGAAACAAAGAGAGGAACUGUUUGUAGCCCUAGUCCAGACGUCCCAAACAAACACUGAGGAUGGAAGAUGCGGAAAACCAAACGUACCCCUCUCCUUACAGACUCCGCAGCCUUUCCAGGCUAUCUGCCAAAUUGCGAGAUGGUAUUUGCAUUUAAAAAAAUUUUUUUGAGUGCAUUUUCUUAUUUUGGUUUAAGUAUUUCCCAGCCUGCCUGAAGGCAAUAUUUCAUGUAUGCCACACUUUCUAGCUUUUAAAGCAUUUCUGCAACAUGCACGAAUUCAUUUUCUCCUUCCGGCAGUUCCGUGAGGUGGAUAGUUUGGGCCCCCUUCCUGUGCUCUCUUGGAGAAAACCGACAGUAGAGAAACUAAAUGCCUUGGUCCUGCAGCAAUUGUGAAGAAAAGUUAAUAAAAGUAAGCUGUGUCCCUUAGACUGCGUGGAAUUAUAAAAAGCUAGGCUUGGAAACGCAUAGUGACCAUGGGUAGGAUGUCCAUCCAGAGUACUAGCUUGACUCCUGGUUAGGCGACUCGGUAGCUGUGAGUCUUUAGACAAAGUACUGAAUCUCCCUGUGCCUCCUUUUCUGUAAAAUUGGUAUGACAGCCCUUAUCUAGGGAGUGUUGUGUGGGUUAAAUGAGAUAACACAUGCAAAAUGUUCAGAACAACGCCUGGCACGCUGUAAGUUUUCAGUAAAUAUUGCUAUCAGUACUAAAAUUAUUAUUAUCGGUACCUUUGUGACAGGCUAAGUUGUAACAAAAGGACCCCAAAAUACAUUUGCUCAGAAAGGAUAUAAGUGUAUUAUUUCUCUCUCACCUGCUAGCUUGGAGGUAGAUAGUCGGUCCAGGACAGGUAAACAAUUCUGCUCCACAGGGUCAUUCAGGAACCCAGGUUCCUUGUGUUGUGUUUCUUCCCAUCCCCUAGGGUGUCCCCCUCUUCUGCCUAGUUACAGCUCCCCAACAUUAUAUCUCCUUUCUGCUCCUGCGUGCAGGCAAAUGGCCCCCUUCCAAAUGUUGUAACUCUGAAGCUGUUCAUGCCCUUUCACUCAUAUCCCUCAUUGACCAGAACUUGGGCACACUUAGCUGCAGGUGAGUCUGGCAAAUGUAGUCUCCAGCUAGGCCAACUAAAUAUGCCCAACUAAAACUUAGGAAUUCUCUUACUAAAAGGAAGAAAGGGAGA
rnacentral:lncRNA from 1 species